GGGCUUAUAGUUUAAUUGGUUUAAACGCACCGCUCAUAACGGUGAUGUUGUAGGUUCGAAUCCUACUAAGCCUA
rnacentral:tRNA from 1 species